GAUGAAGAACGUAGCAAAAUGCGAUACUUGGUGUGAAUUGCAGAAUCCCGUGAACCAUCGAGUUUUUGAACGCAAGUUGCGCCCGAAGCCUUUUGGCCGAGGGCACGUCUGCCUGGGCGUCACGCAUCGCGUCGCCCCCCACAAUUCUCCGUAAAGGGAACGUGUGUUUUGGGGGCGGAUAUUGGUCUCCCGUGCUCAUGGCGUGGUUGGCCGAAAUAGGAGUCCUUUCGAUGGACGCACGAACUAGUGGUGGUCGUAAAAACCCUCGUCUUUUGUUUCGUGCUGUUGCUCGCAAGGUAACCUCUUUAAAAACCCCAAUGUGUCGUCUCUUGACGACGCUUCGACCGCGACCCCAGGUCAGGCGGGACUACCCGCUGAGUUUAAGCAUAUCAAUAAGCGGAGGA
rnacentral:misc_RNA from 1 species